GGAAGUAAAAGUCGUAACAAGGUUUCCGUAGGUGACCUGCGGAAGGAUCAUUACCGAGUGAGGGCCCUCUGGGUCCAACCUCCCACCCGUGUCUAUCGUACCUUGUUGCUUCGGCGGGCCCGCCGUUUCGACGGCCGCCGGGGAGGCCUUGCGCCCCCGGGCCCGCGCCCGCCGAAGACCCCAACAUGAACGCUGUUCUGAAAGUAUGCAGUCUGAGUUGAUUAUCGUAAUCAGUUAAAACUUUCAACAACGGAUCUCUUGGUUCCGGCAUCGAUGAAGAACGCAGCGAAAUGCGAUAAGUAAUGUGAAUUGCAGAAUUCAGUGAAUCAUCGAGUCUUUGAACGCACAUUGCGCCCCCUGGUAUUCCGGGGGGCAUGCCUGUCCGAGCGUCAUUGCUGCCCUCAAGCACGGCUUGUGUGUUGGGCCCCCGUCCCCCUCUCCCGGGGGACGGGCCCGAAAGGCAGCGGCGGCACCGCGUCCGGUCCUCGAGCGUAUGGGGCUUUGUCACCUGCUCUGUAGGCCCGGCCGGCGCCAGCCGACACCCAACUUUAUUUUUCUAAGGUUGACCUCGGAUCAGGUAGGGAUACCCGCUGAACUUAAGCAUAUCAAUAAGCGGAGGAAAAGAAACCAACAGGGAUUGCCUCAGUAACGGCGAGUGAAGCGGCAAGAGCUCAAAUUUGAAAGCUGGCCCCUUCGGGGUCCGCGUUGUAAUUUGCAGAGGAUGCUUCGGGUGCAGCCCCCGUCUAAGUGCCCUGGAACGGGCCGUCAUAGAGGGUGAGAAUCCCGUCUGGGACGGGGUGUCUGCGUCCGUGUGAAGCUCCUUCGACGAGUCGAGUUGUUUGGGAAUGCAGCUCUAAAUGGGUGGUAAAUUUCAUCUAAAGCUAAAUACUGGCCGGAGACCGAUAGCGCACAAGUAGAGUGAUCGAAAGAUGAAAAGCACUUUGAAAAGAGAGUUAAACAGCACGUGAAAUUGUUGAAAGGGAAGCGUUUGCGACCAGACUCGCCCGCGGGGUUCAGCCGGCAUUCGUGCCGGUGUACUUCCCCGUGGGCGGGCCAGCGUCGGUUUGGGCGGCCGGUCAAAGGCCCUCGGAAUGUAUCACCUCUCGGGGUGUCUUAUAGCCGAGGGUGCAAUGCGGCCUGCCUGGACCGAGGAACGCGCUUCGGCUCGGACGCUGGCGUAAUGGUCGUAAAUGACC
rnacentral:rRNA from 1 species